GCUACCUAUGAGGUCAGAGUUCAGGGUCAGUCCAUGUAUAGUCUUUAGGUAGUGGCUUAGUCCCUGGAAGCUCUGGUUGCUUGGCAUUGUUGUACAUAUGGGGUCUCGAGCCCCUUCAAGCUCUUCCAGUUCUUUCUCUGAUUCCUUCAACGGGGGUCCUAUUCUCAGUUCAGUGGUUUGCUGCUGGCAUUCGCCUCUGUAUUUGCUGUAUUCUGGCCAUGUCUCUCAGGAGCGAUCUACAUCCAUCUCCUGUCGGCCUGCACUUCUUUGCUUCAUCCAUCUUGUCUAAUUGGAUGGCUGUAUAUGUAUGGGCCACAUGUGGGGCAGGCUCUGAAUGGGUGUUCCUUCUGUGUCUGUUUUAAUCUUUGCCUCUCUAUUCCCUGCCACGGGUAUUCUUAUUCCCCUUUUAAAGAAGGAGUGAAGCAUUCUCAUUUUGAUCAUCCGUCUUGAGUUUCAUAUAGACUGAAACUGCUGGUGUGUGAUCUAGAGACACACUGGUACCAUGGACAGAGCCUGUCACCUGCCUCCUCAUCUAUGGGUAGGGUAUUCCUGGUGAGCUGUCCAGUUACAAUGUAGUCUUGCAGACCUGGCUUCAUGUUGGCGUUCUGUGAGCAGAUGACUCUGUGGUGAACAUUUUAUCACUUUGGCAAAGUGCUUGAGGAAAAUAGCUUAAAAGGCAGAAGACUCUUUUUGACUCACAGUUUUAAGGCAGUUGACAGUCAUGGUUGAGAGGGCAUGAUGGAGCAGAGAUGUUUAGACAGGAAGCAGAAAGAGAUUGUCUGAAGUUGCAAGCUUUUCCCCCUUCUCAGUCCAUCUGGACCUCCAGCCUCUGAGAUGAUGUCACCCAAAUCUGGGGUAAGGAUCUACUCUGUGGUGGUUUGAUGAGAAUGGCUCUGUCCUGACUAGUUUAGUAACAGACACAACCUAGAGUCAAAUGAAAGAAGUGAACGUGAAUUGAGAGAAAAAUUCCUCCAUAAGUGCCAGCUGUAGGACAUUUUCUUGAUUGGUGGUAGAUGAGGGAGGGCCAACACCAUUGGCUACUACUAGCUGGACUAGUAGUCCUGAGUUCUACAGGAAAGCAGGCUUUACAAGUCAUGGGGAUCAAGACAGUAAGUAGCACUUCUCCAGUGCCUGCAUCAGCUUCUGCCUUCUUGAGUUCCCUCGGUGACAAAUGGUUACCUGGAAAUAUAAUCUGAAAUAAACCCUUUGCUAUCCAAGUUGAUUCUGUCAUUGCAUUUCUUGACAGCAGUAGCAACCCUAACUAAAACAGAUUCUAAAGGCUCAUGUGUUUGAAUAUUUGGUCCGUCUUGGAGGGACUUAAAAGGGGUGAGGAGCUGCGGCUUCGUUGGAGGAAGUCACUGGUGGUGGGAUUUGAGGUUUCAAAGGACUCAAGCCUUUCCUAGUUGACUCAUUUCAACCUCCUGGUUUCUGAUCAUGAUGUGAGUUCUGAGCUGCCUCCUUGGCUCUGUCAUCAUGGACCCUCUGAAACUGUAAGCAAAACUAAACUUUCUUUUAUAAGUUGCCUUGGUCAUGGUGUUUUAUCACAGCAUAGAAAAGUAACUAAAACACAGUCUUUGUUUAUAGUCUCUGGAAAUGCUUCAACUGAAACACCUAGAUGCGCUUUAUUGAUCUGCUAGGCACUUCUCAAUCCAGUUGACCCAACAAACACUUUUAGCCACCUGAAAGUUUUGCCUAUGCUAUAUUCCAGGAACCUUCUGGAAAGGAGAUGGUGGCAAGAUGGCAGUUCUAUUUCCUUCUACUCUAGUCUCUUUUACCAGUUACUGGAAGUUUCUAUGGUGCUUCAAAAUUCUAUCCAAGCUCCUCUGAGUUUUGCCUAGCACGCAUGACUCUGUCAGGAGAUGAUGCUACAUGAUGCCUCUAUGAUACUAUGCAUGGGGCUAUGUGUACACUCUUUCAUUCAAUCCCCAUGCCAUUCCUUCAAGCCCUCAUUAUCUCCUUGCUCAAAGGAAGAAACAGUUAAGCAGCUCUUACCAACUGCUAAGUAGCUUAACAGGACUGAAACCCAGGCUGGUCUCACCUUUAAACACAAGAUGAUUUCCACCCCGUCCCACAGGCUGAAAGAUCAAGCUUGUGCCAGCUAAGUGACAACCCCACUUCUUCAGCCUGGGAGUGGUCUGGCAGAAGAAUGUGAUUUUUUUUUUCAAAUUUCCCUUCGAGUUUCCAUCUGUUCACCCAGCAACCAAAUUUAUGCAUGUUCAGACACCAUCUGGGACUGUAGCCCCAUUUCCCAAUUUGAGGCAUUUUUCCAUUUUGUACUUAACAUGCAAGAUGGGGUGGUGGUCUAGAAUAAAUAGCUCAGCUCAGAUUGCCAAGGCUCUGGGUGUCUCCACAGGAAUUUUCUCUGAGGAAAGAGAAGGAAGAGGGAUUUUUUGCUAAACUGGAAUUUUGUUUUCCAGCCACGAGGCUAUUUCUUCUGGCUGGCAUUUCAGUGGGCUCCCAUCUGCUGGCUGCAUUUCAUGAUGGCUCUUUGUUGUCUCAACUGAGAGCAGAUGAUGUGUACCACUGAGUGUGUGGGCAUAUGUGUGUAUGUGCAUGUGUGUGUAUGUAUGUGUGCACAUUUAUGAACCAACUCCUCACAACUUUGAAAAUGCUUCUUAUUACCUGUUACCUGCAGGCCUGGUGGGCUCAUAAUCACACAACCAUACAUCUUGAAAAGACUAAGCUUGGAGACAGGAAAAGCAGAGACCCCACAGGUUUGUAAGUUCCAGAGUCUUCAGAGUUCUCACUCCUCUGUAAUGAUUUUAACCAUAUUUAGCUUGGGACCCAGAAAACCUGUCAGAUUUAGAACUAAACUGAACUUUUAAAACUCUUUCUUCCAUCCCACUAGGAAACAGAUUCUAGUUUUCCGGCCACGAGUAGGUUAAUUUCCUUUGUUAUCUGCUCCUGUCACAGGACUCCUUGCUUGCAGAUAUCCUAUGGGUAAUAUCCAUCCUCACUGUUACAUUCAUAGACAGUCAAUCUCCAGUUGCUGAGAGUGGGCUUCCGGGGCCUGUCUAGUUUAUUUGUGACAGAGUCUCUAAAGACAGUUCAGAACUUGUGGUCUUAUUUGCUCACCUUCCUGAGUACUGAGAUCACAGGUUAUAAUAUCUGUCUGGGUAUUAUCUUCAUGUCCUUAUGUGAACCACACUUUUUCAUGAUCCGAGUCCUCUCACUCUGCCUAUCACUGUCCAAAAACAGCCAAUGCUGUACCAUUUUUUGAGGUGACAUGUGACCCUCUCUUUCUCUUCCUUAUGUGUAUUCCUCUUGUUCCCAUAGUCUGGGUGGCAAAUGCUUAUGAGUUUUAGGAAGGAGCCUGGGGUAGAGUUCAACGUGCAUGUGGUUUGGAGGGCUCACCUUUCUUAGUAGUGGCAAUUUAUGCACAGAGACAGUACCUUGGGGAUGUGGAAGGGAUAGUCUAUGCAGUGUGCACAGAGCUUUGCCUAGGGUCUAGCAUCCACUUCCAUUAUAUGGCCUAUAUUUGUUAUCUGUGUUGUGUUCUCAAUUGGGAAUAAACAUGGAAGGGUAAGAAGCAAAGAGAGUGAUGUGGAUGGAGGAAUGUCAGCAGCAUAGCUUUACAGAGAGCACCGAGAAUUCAGGGGCCCCCUGUAAUUGAUCAGUGGUCAGGAGCUCUUUCUUUCUUGGGUAGUUUUCUUCUUCGCGAAUUCUGAAUCCCUUACUCUUCUAUCUGAGUGCUUGCUCAAAUCCCACGUUUCCUCACUCCUUCCCUUUGCUUUUCUGUAGUCCUGGAUAUGAGGCCCAGGGCCUUAUGUAUGUUACACAAGUGCUGUCCUGCUAGGCUACAUUCCCUUCCUUCCCCAUUCUUGUGGUACUGGGGCUGUAAUUCAUGCCGCUGCAUAUGUUAGGUAGGCAAUGGACCACUGAACCUCAUCUAAAACACUCUUUUAACUUGAAAUUUUGGCAUAUAAUCUUACUAAACUGAUCAUGUUGUCUGCGAGCUUAAUAACCUCCUGCCUAGGCCGCCUAAGUGCUUAGUAUUAUAGGCUUCUAUACCAUAGAACCCUGCUAAUGCCUUGACGUUCUAAGCCUGCGGUAAUAGUUUGCAUAGGUAGGAAAUUUGAGAGGAGCUCACUAAUGAACCAUAUCUCAUAAGAGAGGCUUAAGGAUAUCUCUCAUCCCUUUCACUGAAGUUGUGAGAAGACAACUGUCUGUGAUGACGGGACUUCAACUAACACUAAAUCUGCUAGCGCCUUAUAUUUCUGAAGCCUCCAAUAAGAAUAAAUUUCUGUUGUUUCAAGUCACUGAGUCUGUCUUGUUUAAGCAUCCUGAAUGGACCACAACAUCAUCAUAUGCCAUUCUCCUGAUCCUUUGAAGAGCUUUGGUGUGGUGCCCAGCAUCCACAUAUUCCAUAGAGCAGUGUAGAGAAUGCCCGCUGAGGUCUAAGGUUUCCUGGCUCCGUGCCCCUAGCUGAUGCUUACUGUCAGGAAUCUCUACUCCAUCUUACCCUUCGAGGCAAACUUCUAAGCGUUCUUCAAGACCCAAAUGCCAGGUGUCACCUGUCCUAGGAAGCCUUCUAGUCCCCAGGCUGUUCCACCUGUAUACUUUGUGGUCCCUGGGCACUGACUCCAAUGGGUCUCCUGGCUGAUUUCUUCUUCCUGUGUGCUCCUGAGAUAAGAUACUGUAAUUUGCACCUCAAGAAGUUAGCACUCGCCAAAUUAGUAGCAGAAAAUUCUGGAAAAUGACCUAGCCACCCCGCGUCCAUAAGCACCACUCCACUUUCAUCUGCUGGAAUAUUUGUAUUCAGAUCCUGAUGUCCUUUUGGGAGUGCACAACUCAGGACCCAGCACCCAUUCCUUUUAACUUCAGCACUGGGGCUGAAGCCCCACUAGCCAGGAUCCCCUCCUCAACAAUGACCUGGAAGCAUUUACAUAUAAUAAGCCAAUAUAGCCUAGCUUGCAGAGGGUACAGUUUGAGAUUCGAGUAGGAAGUUGUAAUUAGAAACUAAUCAGCCAUGGCUUCCCAGCUGGUCAGUGCUACCAGACUGGAGUCCCAGUUGUAGCUGUCUGUGGCAAGGAUUCUGGGGAGACAAGCAUGCCUACUAAAUGCCCAUCUAGUCUCUGCUGAACACCAAGGCCGUUUACUUACUGCCAAAUAGAGCCACCCACUGGGGCCUAGUUACUGAGAGGAGUAUGCUGAACUGCAAGAGGAUAUGAUAUUUUCUUUCUCUGUCUGGUUUUCUCUCUGAACAGCAGGGACUGGGUGGUCUUUAUUGGGACCCUCUUUUACUUCUUUGCAUGGUAUGGCUUAGUAAUGAAGGCUCGCAUAUGACCUCCAUGGUCUUUUCAUGGGAUUUUUGGUAGCUAGGACAAAUGAAGGUGGUCCGAUGCCAUUUGGGGGCAAUACGUCUGUCCUUUGUGGGCUAUAGAAAUGGAUUUAGUUAUUUUCCUAGGGAUCCCCCACACUUGCAGAGCGAAAAGAUUAUCUUCAGUCACUUCAAAGCCAGGCAUCAUCUCUGAGUCUUCAGGGAACUGCUUCCUUCAGAACAAACGUUGGAGUGGGGUUGGGAGUUGGGUAAGGCUGUCGCAGUCCUGCUUUCAGUUGGAUAUGUAAUGGAAAUGGAAUUUAUAGUCCCUUUCUGAGUCUUACAUUUGUUAAAUGCAGAGCAAGAAUGAUGAUGAUACUUGAGUUAUUAUUGAAAAUGAGCCAUGUCUCCAUAUGUAGAAUGGCUCUCUGAGGUGAAGAAAGAGCACUGUUGGCUGCCAAGGGUCAGCAGCUCCAUACAGCAUUUGCAUGGAGCACCAAUGCUAUCCCACCACUGCAUCUCCAACAAAGACAGAAUGCUAGAGGUGGGAGUUGAUGUCACAAUGGGGAGGGAACAGAUGUCCAGCAAAUAAGCCAGGACACAUGUAAUUAAGUCAGUCUAUGGUCAGGAGGUCUUUGAGGCCAGAACAGUGAUGGAUGGCUCCUGGUGAGGGGUUUCAGCUGUUUCAGUCCAGGAUGAACUCCAAAUACUCUCAUGGCAUUGAUGUGGAUCAGACUGAAUGUGUGCCCAAUUCAAAGAAAAUCCAACUCGCUGCCUGUCUCUUCCAAGAAAGCUUUAUGCUCUUCGGGGCUCUGGGUGUGCUGUGGCUUCCUCAGUGCCAUGGUGGCACCGCUGAAUAGUUAUGUAGUAGGGACUGUGUUGCCUUGCAUAGAUGAAAGUGUAGGCCACCUGGUUCUCUUAAGAAAAGUAAACAGGAAAGAAUUGAUCAAAACAAGGAAACAAACAACAACAAA